GGUUGGUUAGCUCAGUUGGUUAGAGCGUCGUAUGUUCUUCCUCAUCUUUGGCAUUCAAUGAUCAUUGCUGACCCAGCCUAGGUACUAAUACAGUAUUCCAUUGUAUUAAGUAAUGCGAAGGUCAUGAGUUCGACCCUCAUACUGACCA